rnacentral:rRNA from 1 species
AGAGUUUGAUCCUGGCUCAGGAUGAACGCUGGCGGCGUGUCUAAGGCAUGCAAGUCGAACGAGUCCUUCGGGACUAGUGGCAAACGGGUGCGUAACACAUUGGUAACCUACCCCUAACUCGUGAAUAACUCUUCGAAAGAGGGGCUAAUACACGAUGUGCUAGUCAAUCAUAAGGUUGAUUAGUAAAGAUUUAUCGGUUAGGGAGGAGCCUAUGUCCUAUCAGCUUGUUGGUGAGGUAAAAGCUCACCAAGGCUACGACGGGUAGCGGGUGUGAGAGCACGACCCGCCUCACUGGGACUGAGACACUGCCCAGACUCCUACGGGAGGCUGCAGUCAAGAAUCUUCCCCAAUGGACGAAAGUCUGAGGGAGCGACGCCGCGUGUAUGAAGACGCCCUUCGGGGUGUAAAAUACUUUUCUUAGGGAAGAACUAAUGACGGUACCUAAGGAAUAAGGGGCUGCUAACUUCGUGCCAGCAGCAGCGGUAAUACGAAGGCCCCGAGCGUUAUCCGGAAUUAUUGGGCGUAAAGCGUCUGUAGACGGUUUAGUAAGUCAAAGGUUAAAUAUCACUGCUCAACAGUGGUGCUGCUUUUGAAACUGCUGAACUAGAGGAUGGGAGAGGUAAGCGGAAUUGCCGGUGUAGUAGUCAAAUGCGUUAAUAUCGGCAGGAACACCAAAUGCGAAGGCAGCUUACUGGAACAUUCCUGACGUUGAGAGACGAAAGCGUGGGUAGCGAAUGGGAUUAGAUACCCCAGUAGUCCACGCCGUAAACGCUGGAUGCUAGGCAUUGGAAGUAUCGACCCUUUCAGUGUCGUCAAACCAAGCUAACGCGUUAAGCAUCCCGCCUGGGGAGUACGGCCGCAAGGCUAAAACUCAAAGGAAUUGACGGGAACCCGCACAAGCGGUGGAGCAUGUGGUUUAAUUCGACAGUAGCGAGGAACCUCACCUGGGCUUGACAUCCUCGGAACCCCUGAGAGAUCGGGGGGUGCCUUCGGGAGCCGAGUGACAGGUGUUGCAUGGUUGUCGUCAGCUCGUGUCGUGAGAUGUACGGUUAAGUCCGGAAACGAGCGCAACCCUCGUCCUAUGUUAUAUAUUCCAUAGGAGACUGCCAUUGAUAAAAUGGAGGAAGGUGGGGAUGACGUCAAAUCAGCAUGGCCCUUACGCCCAGGGCUACACACGUGCUACAAUGGCCGGUACAACGGGUCGCCAAACCGUAAGGUGGAGCUAAUCCUAAAAAACCGGUCUAAGUUCGGAG